rnacentral:lncRNA from 1 species
UCGUGAAGGCAGAAGAAAAGCCAGAAUAGAGACUCCCCGAAAAACCUAUGGACGAAAUCCGGACACACGAUACACCGAUGCAACGCACAUCGAUACAGU